GGGUUGUCAAGCGUUGGAACAACUGCCCAAGGAAAUGGAAAUGGUGGAAGCACCAUCCCUGGAGGUAUUUAGAAGAUGUGUAGGUGUGGCACUGAGGGACAUGGCUUAGUGUUGGACUUGGCAGUGCUGGGUUAACGGUUGGACUUUUCCAAUCUAGAAUAAUUUAGGCCAGCAUUAUGGAAAACUUCAAAAGUGGUAGAUAGAAACUUGACAUUUAAGUCAGUGCUUUGCAGGGAACAGGGAAGCAGCAGGACGUGGAGAGCUGGACUUGCCUGAACCGAGAUCUAGUUUUACGUGUUGGAUUGUUUCAAACUCAGAAGCUGUGGUAUUGUAGAUGUAAAAAUCCAUCACUGAAACAUGUUCCUUUUGAAUGAGAGGCAGAACGGACACCUCUGUAAGGGCAAGAGCCAGAGUAAGGGGAGAUACAUCAAUGCCAGCUUAAAAACAAAGGAGCUUCACAGCUUCAUUUCUUCAAAGCAUCCCUAUUAUUUUCCUCUCUUCUCCCAUUAUGGUCUUCAUUAAGGUAAUUAUUUGAUAUAAUGCAUCUCAAUGAGACUAAAUUACAGAAGUGAUGUGGCAGCUGCAGCCACAUGCACCAAAUUCUCUCAGCCUCUGAGGUACUUGAAACAAAGUAGGUCUGGAUUGUAUAUAUAUAUAUAUAUAUAUAUGUACAUAUACACACAUUUAAGUCAUCCCUCUAACAGAACCCUGGUACAUUCAUCUCCCCAGGUUUCUUAAUUCCCAUUCUGAUGAUUAAUCCAAGCACCUUUCUGCUGCUACAGCAACUAGUGGGUUUUGUCAUGGGGUUUCUCUAGACAGUGCUUUGUGCUUUUCUGUUUGGGGGAAGGAGAAGGAUUUCCAUGUGACCACUGAGUAGCCAAAAUUGUCUGGAUCCAGGGGUUAAAAUAGCUGGGAGGAGAGCAGAGGAACCCCUUCAGCCAGCAAACCAUCCCAGCUGCUUGUUGCCUUCCAACAACCACAUCUUUAAAAGAAGCUUUUCCUUUUAAAGCAUUAUCUUUUUGGCAAGACAUUUGCACUAAGCUCUAAGAGAGAGAUUUUUUCAUGGCUAUCAGCAUUUUGGGAACCCCCUCCCCACCCAAGGCAUGUGUAGAUCCUCUCCCUACCUUCUGAGAGAGGUCUUCAGAGGAGACUGGAGCAUGGGGACAGGAGGCUGAAAGAGUGAAGUGCUGCGGAUAAACAUGGGGAUGGGUUUUGUUUUAGAGAUGGGCCCUCUGGGUUCAAAUGGGUGCUUGGAGUGGAUGAGAUGGAUGAAGAUGACAAAGUACCAGCCUGAGUGUCCCAUUGCAUCCUUUGCACAGGCACUGCCCAGCUCCCAGCCAGGGCAGCUGAGCAGUGUGUGAGGCAGCUUCUGAAACACCCAUUUUCAGCCUCAAAAAUCAUAUUUAUCAGGGAAAACUGACCCUCAUCCAGAGCAUUUCUCCCUGUCUUCUCUAGAGUUUCCUUCAGCUCCCACUAAAUUUUAACUGCUAAAGACUAACCCUGGGAACUUUGCACUUCUAGAGUAAAAUUCAGCAUCAGGCAAGCCUUGAUUAGUGUAAUUACAUCUGCUUAUAAGGAUAAUGAUCAGUGCGAGGUGCUGCCACUCUGCCUCUGGCCCCAGAUUUGCAGCCUUCAUAACCCGUCACGAGGCAGAGAUGUGCUCCCAUUUUCAUUUUGCAGAAGAGACCAAGAAUGAGAUUUAUAAAGUUCUUGGGUGGGUAUCACACCAGUUUCAUUGACAGGGAGCUACGGGCAGAGAGCCCUUGUUGCCUGCAGCUAGGGGUCAGUUCUCCUGCCAUAGGAGGCAAUGGAUUGUGCCCCAGGUGCCCCCUGUUUCCUCAGCUUUGUGACCCUAAUGUAGGGGGUUUAGCUUUGAAAGCUGUAUAGAAAUCAGCAAAGGAAGAAUUUGGGUUUGGAAGAUGAACACUUUGUGAAGUGCUGGUGAGGAGGUGAGUAGCUGAAAAAAUUACCUUUCGUCAUGGUCAUGCUGAGGUUUGUCACUUAGAAAGGAGGGUAAUAAACAUUGUGAGGUGUUGCACUGUGCUGUGAAGUGUCAUCUCCCUACUGCCAGAAGGAAAAAGCCACUUUGAUAUCUACUAUGGUUAUUUCAGAGGUGAAGUUGCACUGAUGUUAGGAUGUGUGCAUGCUGAAGGCUGAUAAACUUGAAUAGCACUGGGAAAUCAAUGCCUGUGAAAAGGUGUUACCACAACAGUACUGUUGCUUGAGUUGAUGUCAUUGAAUACACGUAUGUAUCAUACAGUUAAGUGAUUAAUCUGCUUUGAGGAGAAAGGAGAUGUUGGAAGCUGUCUCUUUACCACUAUGCCACUUAACCCAGAGCCCAGAUUUUCAUGUGAGAAACUAAACACGGGGAACUGUCACAAAUGUGACACUUCAGUGGGAGACCCGUGGAAGAAGAGCUCUGAGUGGUUUCCAGCCUGAGGUACCAGUGAGGAGAGCCAUGGGAAAACCACAGGACUAAAUGAGCUGCCCAGCAAUGCAGAGUGAGAGGGAUGAGCUGCAAGAGGAGCACAGGGAGAUACUGAAGAUGGCAUUGAAUUCACUGUCACCCAGCCUAGGUACAGUGCUGCUAACCCAGCACAGAGACGCACAGCCACCCCCUCCCAAAAAGUGUGUGAUGGAUGUCAUCAGAGCAGUCCUUACAUGGAGGGAGGAACUGUGCAGCCUGUGGCUCAGCUGGGGACACAAGGCACCCACAGUCCUUGGUGCUCUCAGCCCCUGCGGCUCU